GGAGGGGGCCAGCGUUGUUCGGAAUUAUUGGGCGUAAAGGGCGCGUAGGCGGCUCAGCAAGUCGGGUGUGAAAUCCCUCGGCUUAACCGAGGAACUGCCUCCGAUACUGCCGAGCUUGAGUCCGGGAGAGGAGAGUGGAAUUCCCAGUGUAGCGGUGAAAUGCGUAGAUAUUGGGAGGAACACCGGUGGCGAAGGCGGCUCUCUGGACCGGUACUGACGCUGAGGCGCGAAAGCCAGGGGAGCAAACAGGAUUAGAUACCCUGGUAGUCCUGGCUGUAAACGAUGGGCACUUGGUGUUGCGGGUAUCGACCCCCUGCAGUGCCGAAGCUAACGCAUUAAGUGCCCCGCCUGGGGAGUACGGUCGCAAGGCUG
rnacentral:rRNA from 1 species